rnacentral:tRNA from 1 species
CAUUAAGAAGCUAUGAACCAGCACUAGCCUUUUAAGCUAGAGAUAGAGGAUGGUAUCCUCCUUAAUGA